rnacentral:rRNA from 1 species
UCGGGAAUUUUGGGCAAUGGGCGAAAGCCUGACCCAGCAACGCCGCGUGAAGGAUGAAGUAUUUCGGUAUGUAAACUUCGAAAGAAUAGGAAGAAUAAAUGACGGUACUAUUUAUAAGGUCCGGCUAACUACGUGCCAGCAGCCGCGGUAAUACGUAGGGACCAAGCGUUGUUCGGAUUUACUGGGCGUAAAGGGCGCGUAGGCGGCAAUUCAAGUCAUCUGUGAAAUCUCCGGGCUUAACUCGGAACGGUCAGAUGAUACUGCUUUGCUAGAGUGCAGAAGGGGCAAUCGGAAUUCUUGGUGUAGCGGUGAAAUGCGUAGAUAUUGGGAGGAACACCAGUGGCGAAGGCGACUACCUGGACGGGUACUGACGCUGAGGCGCGAAAAGCAUGGGUAGCAAACAGGAUUAGAUACCCUUGUAGUCCCUGAGCGGGCUGGCAAGGCGCAU